rnacentral:rRNA from 1 species
UACGUAGGGGCCUAGCGUUGUCCGGAAUUAUUGGGCGUAAAGAGCUCGUAGGCGGUUCGGCAAGUCGGAUGUGAAAUCUCCACGCUCAACGUGGAGGGGCCAUUCGAAACUGCCGUGACUCGAGUCCGGUAGGGGAGUGUGGAAUUCCCGGUGUAGCGGUGAAAUGCGCAGAUAUCGGGAGGAACACCAGUGGCGAAAGCGGCUUCCUGGUCCAGCACCGACGUCAGGCACGAAAGCGUGGGGAGCAAACAGG